UCACAACUAUAAACUAUAAACGGUUAGGUUAUAAGUUAUAUUCACUUUACCACAGCUCUACCAAACGGGGCCUUUGUCACCAUCGCCGUCAGGUACAGAAGCAUCACCGCCAUCGCACAUGAGCACCACCGUCAAUCCACCAUUAGAGCAUUACCCCAGGUAUGUCCUCUCUAUUUCGCCCUCUCUCUGUCUUUUUGUAUCUGUUCCCCUAAUUUUAGCCUCUUGGGUUCUCUUCUUCCAUUCGCAUACCUUCACACAAACCCAACCCCAAAUCGACCCACCCAUCGCCAUUGACGAAUGACUGUGAUUUUGGUUUUUUGUUUUUUGACGGUUUGAUGACAUUGAUUCAUGAUUUAUGAUUUAUGAUUUAUGAUAUAAAAAAAAAAAAAAAAGGUUAAGAAGAUGAAGAAAGAAAUUUGUAUGCAUAUGUAUAUAAAAUAUGAAUUUGGGCAUUGAUUUCGACAGGAAUGAAGAGGUUUUCCAUAGAGAAAUUGUUGAGAUAGAGUUGAAUAAUAAAUCAAAGUUUAAGAAGAGCAGUCGGUAAAGGAGUCGAAGCUUUACUUACUGCUCUAUUUUGAUCUCAGGAUUGGGAGUUUGAUGGCUGCCUUUAUCCUUGUUUAUCAUUUACAUUUUUUUCUAGUGUUUUUGUUGUAUUUCAGUGCUUCUACUGUAUUUUGCUGCUUCAUUUGCUUAUUUGUUUGAAAAUCUGGUCUAAGUGGAGGUAGGUAGUGUGUGGUUUUGGUGACUGGUGUGUUUUGAGAGUGGUUGCCAGGGGACCCUUUUGUUCUUUCUUCGUUGCUUUGUCUGCUGGAUGGCACUUAGAAGCAUUUUUUGAAGGUAGCAUGAGGAUAUCCAAAAGCAUCAUUGCUAGUGUGUGUGUGUAUAUGUAUGCACAUGUAUAUAAAUUAUAUGAAUUUGUAUGUUGAUUGAAUUGUUCUUCUAGUAGUAGUAGCCAUCAUCUUUAUAUGAACAAAUCAUAUAUAUACAUAUUUUCUUGAUGCCUGCAAUCCAACUGUUUACACUUCUCUUGUAAUUUUCUCUAUUCUAAUUAACACAUUUAAUUGUGAUAUUCUUGGUGAAUUAUUUGGUCAUGUACGGAAGAGGCAGCCUUGGGCAGAUCCGAAAGUUGUCAAGUAACUCAUAGAUGCAAACUUAUAUGCAUGUUGGGGAAAGGAUUGCAGCAGAUGAUGAAAAUCCUAUUAAAAAGAAGAAGGAGAAGCUUGUUAAGGAAUGUACUACUGCCCUGGAUACUCUGCCAAAACCAUCUGAAGAAGAACUCAAUCCCUAUUUGAUAUUCCCUUCACCAGAGGAAAAUUAUAAGGUUACCAAAAAAACUUCCCGAGUGAUCUCGAGUAUUUAUUGCAGAUCCCAUGCUGGCUUUAGGUAUUUUUGAUUUUAUAUCAGAUUGCUUUCUGUGAUCCCAAAUGCUCAAUUACUACAAGAGAAGAACAUAUGACUUGAAAAAGGUGCUGCUUUUUAAUUUAUUAUUAAUUGUCAUUUUUUUCAGUGUUCUGAAAUAAGACAAUAGGAAUUGAGCUAAUGUUGUAAGCAGCUUUCUUAUUUACAAUGACAUCAUAAUGUUUCUGCAGAUUGUAGAAUAUGCAAGCAAAAAUGAUUUCACUUCUAUUAUAGUUGUUCAUACUAACUGCAGGAACCCAAUAAGCAUCCUCAGUCCUUUUUUCUUUUUUCCUUCACUUACAUUAUUUUAAUGGGUAAAUUACACCUACACCCCUAAGAUUUGGGUUUAAUACAUAUCCACCCCAAUGUUUGGAAAAUUACACUAACCCCUUGUCAUUGUAAUUAUUUAGAUGAAAUGAAGAUAUUGAACUCAUGCACGCUCUCUUUUCUUGCAUUGUUUUACUUCCUCUGUUUUUUUUUUUUUUCCCUUUCCUUUGCUUUACUUUUUUUUUCAAUGCGAUUUCCUCUGUUUUUCUAUUAAAAGUUGUUGCCUUUUAUAUAACAAAGGAGUUCGUAAAAUGAGAAUAUUAAUUACAGGGGUGAAAAUGUAAUUUUUAAAACGUCAGAAGGUGAGAGGUAAUUAAAUCAAAUCUCAGAGGGUGUCAGUGUAAUUUAUCCUAUUUCAAUUGCAACAGUUAUGAUAGUCAAUUAUGGUGGUUGUUUUGUAGAUGCUCUCCUUGUCAUUGGUUUAGCAAUGAAUACUCUGAUUGGUUCAGGAAAUUUUUAGCUCUCUCUCUCUACUUCUUUGAGUGUGUGUAGUCUAUUUACCAAUCUAGAUAUAUACAUAUCAAAUAUCACUCCGUUUGCCCAUUUUUGGUAGUCCUGCUUUAUGUGUCAUAGUCUUAAAUUCAAAACAUUUAAUAAUCACUGGCCCAUGUUACCCUUCUUCAAAAUUAUAUUUAUAAGCAAUCCCAUUUCAAAUGUGCUUUUCGUAAACUUUACUGUGUACAUGGUCAAUCAUGCCAUAUGGAAUGGAAUGGAGUUGGAGUAUCUGUAUCUAUUGCUGACUGUUAUGUGUCUAUUAUUAUCUCAUAUAGGCUAAUACAGUCUCUUUUCUCACAAGAUCCAAAUUUUCGUGGACGCCAAGUGGUAACCUUCCACAAUCAGCGAGAUUUUAUAUUAUUUUGCCAUUAUCAGUACAUUUUUGAAACCAAAGAAAAUAAACAGAGCGAUUCAAAAGGUGGUAAAAUGGUCAAGGACAAUAAGGAUGAAAAUGACACUCAAGACAAAACAGUAACAUGUUCUGUUUGCUGGCAACAUUUGAUAUUUGUUAAAUUUGCAUAUCACUUGUGCCGGUGAGUAUUUCAUGUUGGAA